rnacentral:rRNA from 1 species
AUACGUAGGGGGCGAGCGUUGUCCGGAAUGAUUGGGCGUAAAGGGCGCGUAGGCGGCGCGGUAAGUCUGGAGUGAAAGUCCUGCUUUCAAGGUGGGAAUUGCUUUGGAUACUGCCGCGCUUGAGUGCAGGAGAGGUUAUCGGAAUUCCCGGUGUAGCGGUGAAAUGCGUAGAGAUCGGGAGGAACACCAGUGGCGAAGGCGGGUAACUGGACUGCAACUGACGCUGAGGCGCGAAAGUGUGGGGAGCAAACAGGAUUAGAUACCCUGGUAGUCCACACUGUAAACGAUGAAUGCUAGGCGUAAGAGGUAUCGACCCCUUUUGUGCCGGAGUCAACACAAUAAGCAUUCCGCCUGGGGAGUACGGCCGCAAGGUCGAAACUCAAAUGAAUUGACGGGG